rnacentral:lncRNA from 1 species
ACACUGACUGGACUUGCCCAGGUGCGACCGGCUGAGAUGAGGAGCUGGGCCCAAGGAAGCCUGGAGGUCUCGCUGAGACCAGGAGCAGAAGCCCACAACCAGGCCCCCGACUCCAGCUCAGUGCAGUAGCAGGGGACAGGCCCUGGCACAGGGAGCAUCAGGCCUGAGGCCCAGGAGCCCAGCUUCCCCAUGGGGCUGGACUCAGAGGGAAACCAAGGCAGAAGGAGAGGACCUCAGUGAGAGCCAUGGGCCUGGCUCAGUCUGGGUUGAGGACACACUGUGGACACAGCCCUGACUCCCUGCCCCUCCGUCACUCUCAAAUGUGGAGGAAUCAUGACAAGUAGGCCUGUUGGACUCGGGUGGGGAGGAGGAGUG